rnacentral:lncRNA from 1 species
AUUAAGGCAUAAUACUUACACCACAGAGGUUUUAUGUGGGGUUUGUGGUACUCGAUCCUGGUUAUGGUUUGAACUUUUAUUAACUUACUGAUGUGCGUCUUAUCGACGUUUUCGAUUCGCACCAUGGCUUUGUCAUACUCUUUAAAUUUUUUUAGUUUAAUUAUCUGUUUGCGGUUUAUUUUUACCUCUGUUUCUUUUUAUGUGUAUUUUGAUGAAUACCCUUUGACGCGGCUCGGUAUUUAUACAUCCCACCAGUAAGUUAUAGUGUUAUGUUUUUUUAAUACGUUUCCUAUUAUGUUUUUUUUUUUAUUUCUCUUUGUAUGUUAUCAGGGAUUGUUAAACUAUUAAAUUACCCUGUUGUCUUAGUUAUUUAUAUUUUCAUAUACUAUUUCUAAUUGUUACACUAUGUUGAUUGCUCUAUUCCUUUUAUGUCACUGAAUUUUAACUAUUGUGUCUUUUAGUUUAGUUCAAUUUAAUGAAAUUUAAUGCAACUUGCAUACAAGUGAAAUAUGCAGCUAGCUGUAAAACUAGGUUUUAUACUUUUUUACAAAAUAUCCUUUCUUCAAGUGUUCUCAUUUACUGCAAAUCUAUAAAGUUCGAGAAUCGAAUGCAACAGGCCACUAUAAAUUCUAAUCGAAUCGUAAUGUCAU